UUGGUGGACGCGUCUAGUUCAGGUACGGCGAGGAUUGGGGGCGAGGGGCGCCUGUUGGAGUAGCUCGCCUGGGACCAGCCACUCUGCUAGGCAACACUCAAGUGUCAAGACGCCACGCGCACUCCACCUUUCUCCACAACUUCGAGUGAAUUAGAAUGAAAAUGAGGGCUUUAACAUGCAUUAUGCUCUUGUGGACUCUUAACGGAGCUACUGCUUGGUUUUGCUAUACCCAUAAUGUUGGUGCAAAAUCAUGGUCGGUAGCGUUCUGCCCAUCGGUAUCGUGCUACUCCGUUGGAGCCAAAGUGUGAAACAGCGGCCUCGCAUUUUACUGAACAAAAACCUCAACAACUGGAAAUAAAAAGAAUCAUAGAAUUUGGUUUUAAAUGUGCUCAGUGGCUUUCCCAAGGCCCCAACUAUUUCUUACAAUACUGUAUUACCUUCAUCUUUGAACUUGGUCUCAUCAUCCUAUCCAAAUCCAUACAUCCCCCCCCCCCCCACUUCUUAUUUGUUAAAUCCAGCAUGGAAAGUGUAAUUGCCUAAGUGCAGUUACAGGAUGAAGAGGUAUGCUCGUGAUGUCCCGUCUUCCCACUACUCUGUUGUAUAACACUUUGAAACUACUGACGUUUUUGGCCUCCUUAGCUUGUUCCAACGGCUACCAUUGUUUGCAAAAGAAAAUUUUCUAAUGUUUUUUGGCACCUUUGUUUCCUUAGCUUAAAUCUAUCUUGUUCGUGAUGUUGCUGGUUUCAGGAAUUCUUUCUUGUCAAUUUGGUAAAUUCCUGUAAGAAUUUUUUACGUGAUGAUCAUAUCACUUCUUUUUCUUCUAUCUUCUAGUUUUGGUAUGUUUAAUGUCUGUAGUCUCUUCUCAUAACUAUUUUUCAGUACCAGAAGCCAUUUUGUAGCAUGCCACUGCAUCUUUUCCAGUUUAUUGAUGUGUUUCUGGAGAUUUGGGCACCAUACAACUACUGCAUAUUUCAGUUUUGGUCUCACAAAAGUCAUGAAAAUUUUCUUUAGUAUUUCACCAUAUUAUUAAAAGUAAGUGUGAAGUUGAAAAGCGACGCAUACGCUCCUCUCACAAUGUUCUUUGUGUUCCUCUGGCGACAGCUUAGUACCCAAAACCACCCUUAGGUUUCAUUCUUUAGUAGAGUUCUGUAAUUCCAUUACACAUAAUUUGUAAGUUGUGUGUGGUCUAUUUUCUCUAAAUCAACAUUCCAUAACACUGCAUUUAUUCACAUUGAAUUCCAUCUGCCACUUGACGCUCCAAGCACUUACUUUAUCCAAGAUCGAUUUGAAGAGCAUUACAAUCAUCUGUGCCUCCUAUCUUUCCCAGUAUCUUAGCAUCUUCUGCAAACAUGCAAAUAAUUUUGUAUUCCUUCUGGUAGAUCAUUUAUGUAGAUAACUAACAUUACUGGUGCAAGAACUGAACCUUGUGGUACUCUGCUAGUAACACUCCUCCAGUCAGAUACAUUGUCUCUGAUUACUGCCCUCAUCUGUCUAUCAGUGAUAAGUGAUAGUUCAAAAGGAGUUUGGCUAAUUAUAUAUUUACUUAUGAUGGCCCUUUUCAGGUGAAUUCAUUUCCUCAGUGACUCCAUAUAUAUGACCAUGCAAGGCUGGUUGAAAAUUCCCUGCAAUGCAUGUUGUAUAGCACCCUGUCUGUGCAGAGGCUGUCCAAGGAUAAUUAAUUAACUGGAUAUUACUUGAAGGCAUCGAUACAUAAAAUUUCCAAAGCUAAUUAAUACACUUCUUUCAUUCAGAUUAUGAGACAUACUGUAUUUGAGAGUGAAAUGUAUUUUUCCUUCCAUUGACAUUCACAUUGUCUCAAGGCUGUUCUUCGUUCUUUCAUUAGAAAUACAAUAUUCUUCACACAAUUAAAAAAAAUUGAAACGCAUCACAAAUAUUCUAUCUUACACACUCCUCCCUUUACAACUGCAGGAGUAAAAUCUGAGCACACACACCACCCUACCUGGAAACUUUUUUUCAAUAAAAUGUUUGACAGUCAGCAUUUCUGGUGGCAUCUCUGCAAGGCUAGGGUCAUGGCCAUCUUGGGAACUAGACAUACAAACUCUGGGGACAAAAACAGUUUAUUCAAAUCACUAUACUGUAUAUAACAAUGAAGUGUGUUGCAAGAACAAAAUUUAACACUUUCAUAUAAUUUUUCUCUGACAUCACUUUGUAUUAAGGGCAAUAAAUUUAGUUUCUUAAAAUUCCUAUACAAUAUAUAUAAAAUCUUUUGUAGAAAACUUCAUGAGAUUGUUAAAAUUACCAAUUUGCAUGCUUUGUAUACAUAAAAGUGGUUUUCUUUAUAUAAAUAAUGUAUCUACAGCAAUAAAUGUAUAGCAAAU
rnacentral:misc_RNA from 1 species